rnacentral:rRNA from 1 species
AUACAGAGGGUGCAAGCGUUAAUCGGAUUUACUGGGCGUAAAGCGCGCGUAGGCGGCUAAUUAAGUCAAAUGUGAAAUCCCCGAGCUUAACUUGGGAAUUGCAUUCGAUACUGGUUAGCUAGAGUGUGGGGGAGGAUGGUAGAAUUCCAGGUGUAGCGGUGAAAUGCGUAGAGAUCUGGAGGAAUACCGAUGGCGAAGGCAGCCAUCUGGCCUAACACUGACGCUGAGGUGCGAAAGCAUGGGGAGCAAACAGGAUUAGAAACCCUAGUAGUCC